CGCCGCUGGGCUGGGCAGGGGACGCGGAUCCUGGCUCAUGCGCUGACAGGGCGAGUGGCUUUUUGCCACUCCAAGCAAAAAAAAAAAAGGGAGGGGGGUUGCCGCCCCUUAGAAAGUGCCGCCCCAAGCACAUGCUUGGAGGGUUGGUGCCUAGAGCCGGCCCUGUGCAUGUCUCUGCACAGCAAAGACGGCAGGACACUCUGGAGCUGCACUGUUGCAAGGCGGCUGUGGUGGAGAGGAUUGUGGAGCUCUUUGAGGAGCUUCCUGAUGACUCUCCACCUGGUGCCAUCUUGGCCAACUCACUGAUCGCCGUGGGCAAUCUCAGCACCAUGAAAUCUGCCCUGGAGCCAGAGUUGGAGUCCCACCUCCUGUGAGCUGUCCUGCAUGCCAUCUUCACCGUGGACAUGGAGAAGGACACCACCCAAGUCCAGAAUCUGCAAAAGGUCAUACCAGAGCUCCUGGAUGCCAUGCUGGGAAACCUGCUGGCAGAGUCCUCAGACACCAACAGGCUGCACUACAUCUUGGAGGUCUUUGGAAAGAUCUUCUCAGAGGGGCAGAGAAGAUUCUUCUUCCGGACAGUGCAGUGCUGGUCAUCCAUGACCCCCUGCUGGGCUGCUCCUCACCUACUCCCUCCUGGGGGAAGCCCAGCAGCUGAUUGGGGACAAGGAAGAGACUCCCCAGAGAUGUCCUGGCACUUGGAUUCCAGAGAGCAUUUCGGCAGGGUGCUCCAGCCCCUGGAAGACAGCAUCAUAGAGCCUCAUUCACAUAGCAACUCUGCUCUCCAGCUCUGCUCCCCACAGCAGGAAAAAUGAACCCCUUAGCUCCCAGAGUCCUGAUUCUUUGAGCUCUUUGUGGUCAGCACUAGGGUUUAUCCGGCUCUCACACCACACCUGACCACCUCUGAAUGAAGAAGGGCCUGAAUGUCAGAGUUCUCCUGGAUCCAGAACUCCUGUUCCAGCUCAUGGUGUCUGUGUGCAAUCAGACCCUCUGGAAACCAGCCUGAAAUACCAAGCAAAGACCUCAGCCCAAUUACAGCAGAGCAGACAUGUAAUAAGAUGACUUUUCCUUGACCUGGAGAGUCUGGUGCUGAGCCAACCUGAUCAGGGAAUUCCCCAUAAAGAGCCAGGCUUAAGUAGAAAUAGAGGCCAGCUGGGGAAAAAGUUAGAGUAAGAGAGAGAUAGGAAUCUCAGUGGAAAAGGGAAACUCUUCAGACAAGGAGGCCUGGGAGAGACCCUGACUAAAGCAAGGAAAUGACUAGGAGACCCGGAGGGGAACUUGAGAAGAGAGGUAGGAAAUGUCCCAGGGAAAACUGCAGCAAAGGUAAAGGAGCAGACCUAGCUGUGUGGUUCACUGCCUUGGACUGGAAUCCAGAGUUGUGGAUGGAACUGGGUUCCCAUGCUGGUGCCAAAGAAGGGGGUGUACGAGCCCACAGAAAGGGUUACCAGGUCCAACAAGAGUAGCUGAAGAUAGGCUGAAGAAGAGCCUCAGAGAGGGUGGAAGGACUUGCUGUCAAAAGCACAUUUGGAGUCUUAGUUAAUUUGGGAGAAGUGGGACCCUGGAAGGGGUACACUGGAGACUGUGACCUGGCUAGAUGGCUGAAUUACCAGGCUGAGGAAACCACCACAGUGCCAGAGCCACCGUCGACAGGGGUGCUAGCCCAGCAAGUACUGCCACGCUUACCUGGACAAGAGGGGGCACCUAGUGGCUCUGGGAUCUGUCCCAGCCUCCCACAUGGACACAGCUGGCCCAGCUGAGGGAGAAGUGAAGAAGGAUGACUUCUUCCUGUCAAAGCAAGCAGUGUGGGUCUCCGUGAAGCUUAGAUGGAAGAUCACAUAUCCCUCAUGAAGUCUGACUAGGGCUCACCAUCCAUUCUGGAGCUGAACACCAGAUGAGACCUGAUUAUCUUUGACUUGCCAUGUCAUCAUGUGGGUGAUGGAGCUGUGUGUCAGAGAGGCCCAGCAGCAGAUGUGGCCAGGAACAGGCUAAACAGCCUCCAA